rnacentral:rRNA from 1 species
GACGAACGCUGGCGGCGUGCUUAACACAUGCAAGUCGAGCGGUAAGGCCCUUUCGGGGGUACACGAGCGGCGAACGGGUGAGUAACACGUGGGUGACCUGCCCUCAGCUCUGGGAUAAGCCCGGGAAACUGGGUCUAAUACCGGAUAUGACUCCACGGUGCAUGUCGUGGGGUGGAAAGCCUUGUGCGGCUGAGGAUGGGCCCGCGGCCUAUCAGCUUGUUGGUGGGGUGAUGGCCACCAAGGCGACGACGGGUAGCCGGCCUGAGAGGGCGACCGGCCACACUGGGACUGAGACACGGCCCAGACUCCUACGGGAGGCAGCAGUGGGGAAUAUUGCACAAUGGGCGGAAGCCUGAUGCAGCGACGCCGCGUGAGGGAUGACGGCCUGGUUGUAAC